rnacentral:rRNA from 1 species
ACGGAGGAUCCGAGCGUUAUCCGGAUUUAUUGGGUUUAAAGGGUGCGUAGGCGGGAGAUCAAGUCAGUGGUGAAAGUUUGCAGCUUAACUGUAAAAUUGCCAUUGAAACUGAUUUUCUUGAGUACAGACGAGGUAAGCGGAAUGUGUAGUGUAGCGGUGAAAUGCAUAGAUAUUACACAGAACACCGAUAGCGAAGGCAGCUUACUGGUAUGUAACUGACGCUGAGGCACGAAAGCGUGGGGAUCGAACAG